rnacentral:rRNA from 1 species
UACAGAGGUCCCAAGCGUUGUUCGGAUUCAUUGGGCGUAAAGGGUGCGUAGGUGGUGCCGUAAGUCAGGUGUGAAAUCUCGGGGCUUAACUCCGAAACUGCAUUUGAUACUGCGGUGCUUGAGGACUGGAGAGGAGACUGGAAUUUACGGUGUAGCGGUGAAAUGCGUAGAUAUCGUAAGGAAGACCAGUGGCGAAGGCGGGUCUCUGGACAGUUCCUGACACUGAGGCACGAAGGCCAGGGGAGCAAACGGG